GGAUCGGUAGUGCAGAGGUCGGCACGUCGCCCUGUCAAGGCGGAGGACGCCGGUUCGAAUCCGGCUCGGUCCC
rnacentral:tRNA from 2 species